CCAGGCGGGGGGUGGGGAAUCUGGGGUAUGGGGGGAAAGGAGGGGAGAUGGAGAUAUGGAAGAAAGGAUUUUUAACCUGAAAAUAAGAAGAUAAUCGGUCUGUAUUACAAUUUUGGAACUGUGAUUUUUACCUGGUUGCUCCAGAAGGUGGAAUUCCUGUAUUUUCCAUUUUUAUCUCCCAUUUAGAUUUUGCUGCUUAGUUUCUUGGGGCCCUGACUAAUUUGCAUAUUUGCCUUCCAGCUGGUCUGACCUAUGGAAUGCUUAGGUAGGAUUUAAAGGCAGCCCGAGGAAAGCAGUGAAAUCUCCCCCUCCCCCACUUCCCCUGGCCUUUUCUGCUGGUGGGGGUAAACACAUUCAAAUGCUAAUGGAUAAACUAGAUUGGUAAUCCCCCCCACACCCCCCGUUAACCCUUUUAUCACCAAAAUUGGGCUUUAUUUAUUUGGUGGUGCUGCUCUUUCUUCACCCAGUAUGUUUCCACCGAAAAGCCUUGGAAAAAAGUUCAGAACAGACUACCUACUAAAUAUACAUCUUAUUCAAACCUUUCUUUCCGUUUAUUUAAAGAAGAUAAAGUGGUGUGUGUGGACUAGUCACUUCAGAUGGAUCCCAGGUCCUGGGAUAAAAUCUAAAACUUGUUAAAUAUUGAUUUGGAGUAUUUUUUUUUUAAAGGAACAAUAGAGCUUAGCAACAGGUCAACAGUGGUGGGAAAAGAUAAUUCUAUUUAAGGCUAAUUACUUUUUAAAAUGUUUUCAGAAAGCAUCCAUGAGUAGAGGUGCUGUAGGUUAGAAUGGCUUCAAGCUCCUGACCCUAUCCAGUCAAUGUCUAAACCUCAGUUACUUACUUGCAAAAUGGGGGAACAAAUCUCUGUUGUAUCUGCCUCACAGAAUUGUGGUUAAAGUAUGUAAAGUGCUUUGCAACUGUUUUCUCCAUCUUUCUGUCCAUGGUGGAUACAGUUUAGCAUAAUUUGUACACCUACCAGGCAAUCAGUGUUUAUUGAGUAAUGUAAAUUCCCAUUUUUAAAGAACUUUGGAUUUUGGCUUGCAUUUAGGAAGCACUAAUAUUAAAGACAAAAAUAUUUACAGCUCCAAAUAAGAGUAGUUUGAUUACUAAUAACAGUUUAAAUAAGAUGCCAGAAGUAUAUGACAAGAAUCUAAAAAUCAUAAUUUCUUCAAGAGGGCCUCCUGCUCCAAUAGUAACUAUGGUCAGGAUAUUGAAAAGUUAUUUCCAGGUUUCCAUCAUUUCAUCAAAAUAGAAAGUAUUUAUAAAUCAUUCAACGCAGUACCUGGCACAGAGUAGGCACUUAAUAAUGCCUUGUCCCUUCCCUUUAUCUUUAGAGAGGCAGAAAGGCAUCCAUGACUAGAGGAUGCUCAGUCUCAGAGCUAGGAAGACUUGAGUUUAUGCUCCUGUCACUGACAAGUACAGGCUGUGUGACUGUGGGCAAAUCAUUUAACCUCUUGUGACUUGUAACACUAUGGAAAUCUGAUGAAACAAAUUAAAAUGUAAUUGGGAAAUAUUUAACAAAAUAAAUAAAAAUACAAGACAUAAUUUUAAUUUGUGUUUUUCUGAGUCCAUUUGCAGCCUAGAAGGAUCCUUAUGUAUGGUUCAGUAGUCUUAUUUCUAUUUGAGUUUGAUAUCCACUAAUUUUUGAAAAAGGCAGAGGGGAAGUUUCCUCCACUGAAUGUUCCCUAUGGCAAUGAAAUCUCAGCUUCUAUUCCUAUCUAUCACUUUAACGAGAAUCUCUAACUUUUAAAAAAUUCUGUAAUCUAUGAGACAGAAAAAUUCUAUCUGUUGAAUCAGUUUUACUACUUGGGGUGUAUCAAAAUGUUUCUGUUUCCUCAAAUGUGGUCUUUUCAGGUCUUCCAUACUUAAAAUGAGUUGGAAGUCCUCAAAAUUGAUGAUUUCAGUAUUCACAUUUAUGACCCUUUUAACACAACUUCCUUCCAGUUCAUCAGCUUCCUCAACUCACAUGAUUCCCCAUCUUCAUUACAUUUGAUGCAUUCAUAGGGGAUUAUUACAUGUUAGACCCCCAUUUUCUUUUUUUUUCCCCCAUGAAAUUUAUUUAUUUAUUUUUACUUUUUAUUGAUAGAACCCAUGCCUGGGUAAUUCUUUACAGCAUUAUCCCCUGCAUUCACUUCUGUUCCGACUUCUCCCCUCUCUCCCUCCACCCCCUCCCCCAGAUGGCAAGCAGUCCCUUACAUGUUGAAUAGGUCACAGUAUAUCCUAGAUACAAUACAUGUGUGCAGAACCGAACAGUUUUCUUGUUGCACAGGGAGAAUUGAAUUCAGAGGGCAUAAACAACCCGGGAAGAAAAACAAAAAUGCAAGCAAUUAAUAUUCAUUUCCCAGUGCUCUUUCUCUGGGUGUAGCUGCUUCUGUCCGUCUUUGAUCAAUUAAGGCUCUCUUUAUCGAAGAGAUCCACUUCCAUCAGAAUACAUCCUCAAACAGUAUCGUUGUUGAGGUAUAUAAUGAUCUCCUGGUUCUGCUCAUUUCACUCAGCAUCAGUUCAUGUAAGUCUCGCCAGUCCUCUCUGUAUUCAUCCUGCUGGUCGUUCCUUACAGAACAAUAAUAUUCCAUAACGUUUAUAUACCACAAUUUACUCAACCAUUCUCCAAUUGAUGGACAUCCUUUCAUCUUCCAGCUUCUAGCCACUACAAACAGGGCUGCCACAAACAUUUUGGCACAUACAGGUCCCUUUCCCUUCUUUAAUAUCUUUUUGGGGUAUAAGCCCAGUAGUGUUACUGCUGAAUCAAAGGGUAUGCACAGCUUGAUAACUUUUUGAGCAUAGUUCCAAAUUGCUCUCCAGAAUGGCUGGAUGUGUUCACAGUUCCACCAACAAUGUAUCAGUGUCCCUGCAAAAUCUCUGUUUUAAGCUAUAGAUUUGCCUUGAUCCCUGACCCACCAAAGGCACACACCUAUAGUUUCCUUAAGGGGGGGUAUUCCCAUUACCUAUAUCCACUACCUAAGGUGGGUUAUUUAUGGAUUCUUUAAGACUUUUAAAGCCAAGAGAACUGUAGAUUAGAUUUUAAAAAUACUUCUGAUCCUUCCUAAUUCUAAUAGAAAGGGUUAGUUGGGCCAGAUAAACACAUUUAUUAACCACUUACUAUUUGUUAGACAAGACACUGCUAUUUGCUAAAGUUGCUAGAAAAAAGUACAAAAAAAAAAGACAGCCUUUGCCUUCAGGAAAUUUACUUUCUGAUAGGGGAAGAAAAGUCACAAAAAAGAGCUCAAAAGUUCAACCCCAGCAUGCUUUGUACUUGUCUUUUUACUGAGACCCAGAAGUCUCAUUAUAUGGAUCAUCUAUUUAGAUCUAAUGUUAAUAAUGUGUGCUGUUAGGUAAUUUUUAUAUGGGCAGUUGUUCACAUACUCAGCUUGAUGCAUGCUUAUGGAUAAAUUCUCUAAAUUUAUUAGUUGACAUUUUUUUUCUUCACCUGUUCAGCUCCAACUCCCUGUCCCCUGGCUACAGAGCCUGUCCCACACCGAUUGCAAACUAAAUAAUGCAAGCAUUCCUUUCUUUCUCCUAGCCUACUAUAAAUUGUUACUGCACUUUUGGACCUCUGAGAGACUGACUCCUACCCAAGGCUCCGGCUAAAUGCCAAGACUCAUUUAAUGUAGCUUAAGGAGGGCUCCUAAAGGUUUAUCUGGAAACAGCAUUCUGCAUUCAUUAGUUAUAGACCUAUCAGGCACAUUUUGAACAUGGACUUGGAAAAUGUGCCUUAAAAAAAAAGUGUUGCCUGGAGAUUGAGAAAAUUGGCAUUUCUGUUCGCAUACUUUAAGUUAAAGGAGACAGAUGUAUGUAUAUCUUUUAUCAUGAAUCAGAUACCCUUUAGCAAAAAAGUCUUCCUAGUGUUGCUUAUUUUCUUAACUUCCUUUCUCAAAAGUAACUGUAGUUAAGUAAUAAGAGAAAACUAUAAAUAGUAAAUAAACUUAUUAAAAACUAUAAACAGUAAGUAAUAAUAAAGAAAUUUCUGGAUUUUCACAAGCACCAACACUUAUUAAAUGUAGAAUAUGAAGUUUUUGAGGUUAGGGUCCAUAGUUCUUUGUCCUUGGAUCCCCAGCACCUAAUCUCAGUGUUAUGCAUAGUAUGUUAGACUGUACAAUGUUAGAAACCACCACCACCACUUACAACACAAACCCACAUUUGUCUUUUAAUAAGUUUGCAACAAAUUAUUUCCCUAGAGGAUGUUGACAGACUAUAUGCUGUAGUAUAAUGUUUAAUUUCUUAACAUGACUUUACCAGGAUCUAUUUGUUCUCGCAUCUCCUAUACUUUAGUCACACCCAGGUUCAGGCCGUUUUGGAAUAAAACACAAGAUGUUGUUUAAUAAGUAAAGAUUGGAAACCCAUAUAGUACCUAGAGAAUUUGGCUGUUUUUCUUUCCAUUGACUAGAAGAAAAAAGAAAUUAAAACAAUAUUCCACGAAGUUUUGUACCAGAAUAAGGGAGAAAACCUUAGCAAAAAUGAGAGCUACUAUUUGGAUCAAAAGAUCUGUCAGUAGUGGACUAGGAGCAUUUUGAUGGUUGCCGCUCUGAGGUUCAACCCAUUUGCAGUUACUGAUAACCUUAUCUUAAGGCAAGUCUUGUUACCCUCCGGCACCUGGCUGAGAGGUAAUAAAACUGUUGCUUUAUCUGCUUGGGAAGGAGUUAGCUAAAUCUUACCUCACUAUAAUUAUGUGAAUUGAAAUGGCCAGUCAUUUACAAAAAAGAGGGGAAAAAACAACAACAACUUGGUGGGGAGGUUAAAUAAAAAUAAAAAGCUUUCAGGCAGGAAAUUGGCUGCUUUUCUCAAGAUUUCAAAAACCAAGCAAGUCAAAUCACCCGAAGUUUUCCUAGGAGUGAGAAAAACAACUUGGCUAGUCUCCCCAGGGUUAACCGGAUUGCUGACAGCUCAAGCCCACGUGAUGGUCUGGAAAAAGAGGAUCAAGCUCUCCAGAAAAAUCCUAGGAGCAAUCUUCUUAGGAGCUUUCCUUUCUAAAUGUAAAUUACUGAGUCAUUGCUUAGGAGGGGAGGAAGUUACAAUCACACCAAAUGACUCAUUCAUUGCAGUUAGCUCUGGGAGUUUGAUUAAAAAAAAAAGUUUUAGCUAAGAGCAGCAACAAAUCAGCUUUAAAUACUGGCACCUAAGGAAAUUCCCCUGAUUCAGGAUGAAUGCCAUCUGCACAAAAGAAGUCCUAUUGACAUCUCAUUUACAAUCUCCCCCAGGACACAGACAAGACCGUUUCAAUAAACCCAGACUCUAAAACACCUAUUGUUUGGAAUCAUCAUCUAGCCACAGGGUACCACCACUCCCUAUUGUUUUGGAAAGUAAAAGAUUUUGACCUCGGAGGAUUGAACCUUGAAUAGAGGAAGAAGAAAAAAACUAUCCCUCCCCCCCCUUUUAAACUUAGUCACAAGAUUCAACAUGCACAUGCAUAGGAAUUCACAUACAUACAUAGUAAAGGUGACAUUUAACCUGUUUCCAUUUGGGUAAGUAUUGCUUAUUAGAGAUGCUUCUUGCCUGCAGUCCCCUCGGUAUUAUAGAGAUUCUGAAUGGUGCCAACUUUGUGCUUAAGGAAUGUUAAGACCUGCCAACAUGUUUUCCAAAAUUAUACUUGAUAUAGUUCCCAGCUUACAAAAAGACAAUAUCACGGUAUGUAUCACAGGGAAAAAAAGCUAAACAAACAACUUGGGCAAUUCUUUGAUUACUUGUUCUGAUUUCCUCCCCCUGAAGAUUUAUAGGUUAACUAUAAUUCUUUCUAAGAAAAUUUUUUUUCUAAGGCUCCUUGACUUUCGCGUCUUCUCCAACUCCUUGUUUGUUCUUUCUUCAUACAAAUCUUUCUGCCAUUACCACCAUUCCUCACAGAUCACUGAAUCUAGAGCUGGAAGAAAAGCCAGCUUUUUGUGGAUGGAGCCACCUCAAUUAAGUUAAGUUGGUGAAAGUCAUACAACAAGUUAUUUUAAUUCAUUUUGAUUCACUAAAGCAUUUAGUGUUUCCUGUACUCUAGAUUCUAUGCCACGGACAAAAGAUACAAAAGACAAAAUUGGAAACCGUCUCAGUUUUUUAGGAGCUUCUUGCUCAUUUAUUCAAUUGUGUCAGAUUCUUCUUGGCCCCAUGGUAAAGUUGAGGCUCUCAGUCCUCCACUGACCAAGAUCUUGUCCAAACUCAUGUUCAUUGCUUCCAUGUCAAGGAGCUUACAUUUUGACUUAAGGAACAGAACUAAACUAGAACCAGCUUUCUUGAUUUUUGGUGUUCUUUCCAUCAAUACUGUUUUCCUUUUUUGAACAAAACUUAGAGACUUUUGUUCAAAUUGAAGUGAACUUUAUAAGAACCCAAAGGUGUUUUGUUCAGGGUUUCAUAAAGUGAAGACUUAAGUUUCUCCUAAAUUUGGGGGAAUCUGACUAUGCUAAAUAUUUCAAGUUGCAUAUUCAUUCCCUCUCCCACCCCCCAGUAAUCUUGGAUAUUGUGUUGACCCUUUUUUUCUGUUCAGAUAUAGAACAUUAAAUCCAAGAAAGGAAGAGAGAGUUGGAGAAAGGGGGAAAAACACAAACUUAUAUGAUAACUUUAUAUAUUUAAGAGAAGUAACACAUUGUAAUACAUUUACAAUUCUUUGUGGAAUCAUUUUUAUACUACUUUUGUUAAGAAUAUGAAGUCCACAUAAAGCAUUAACAAAGCUGACAUUAUCUGGUGCAUCCUUGGAAUAGUCUGCAUUGGGCUAAUAAACUAAUAAACAAAAAGAGUGAUCUUUUGUGGAUAGUCACAAUAGGGGAUAUCCAUUUAAAGGGAUAAUCUUAAAAAUUUUCUUGGAAAGUCAGAAGUGGGAUAGACCUUAGAGAUCUCCUGGUCCAACUGAGGCUCCCAGAAAAGUGAGGUUAAUUGAAAGCCACAAAACUGGUAAAUAGCGGAACUAGAAUUACAAUCCAAUUUAUAGACAAGUGUUAUCUUUAUUACAAUGAAUUCCUUACCUUUUAAAUCUUUCCUAAAUAAUAUUUUUCAGUUCUUAGCCCAGUAUCUGGCACAUUUUAAUAAAUAUUUAAUAAAUGUUCUUUGACAACUAUUGAAUAAAUAUAAUGUUAAUUAAAAAUUUAAUAGAUAUUUGUUGGUUGUUGUUAAUUCCUUUAAUUAUUUUAUUAUAUUUCUUUCAUACCAAAUUCUUUACAAACUAGGUUGGGAGAGUGAGUAGUUAUUAGAAUCCAUUGUGUGUCUUGGAUUCUAAUCCAGUCUCUGACACUUGUUAGUUAGGUAACCCUUCACUUUUACAUAGUACAGGAAAUUCCAAAAUCUUAACUACUAAAUUUGGGGGAGGUUAAAAUUUAAGUUGGGAGUUAACAUUGCUGUAUUUCCCUACAGAUCCUCACAAUUAGUUGAAAAUUGACAGCAUGGAAGGAAGGGGGGGGGUACUCUUCAAAUGCAGUAGUAGGAAGUUAUUUGUUAUUUGAGUUAGAAUAAGUAGUUCAAUCUGAUGACAAUUCCAUUUGGAACUAUAAUUAUAGAAAUACUAUUUUAGGUGUGGACAUUCUCAAAAUAUAUCCUCAAAUUGUCUUAUAUUGACUAGCCCAAAGAGACAGCUCCUUUCCACUCUUCUCCUCUAACAGCAAGGUUUCAUUUAUUGAUUUAUUUUUUGGCUGUCACCUUUUAAAAGUAGAAACCGUGGAGAAGGCUCUUUGCUUAUUCUGAUGCUUUCCAUAAUUAAGGGCAGGCCUUUAAGACAAAACAUUCUCCAUAGUGCCUGCUAGCCUAUCCCCAAGCCUUCUCUGGGAUUGAAACCCCACCAACUGGAACUGUUUGUCUAAAAGAAAGUAUCAGCUCACCAGGACUAAAUUAUCUCUCAAUUCUCUCUGCAGCUCUCCCCCACCAUUCAGGAAUGUUAGUCUUUGACCCUGGAUACCAGAAACCACACUGAAAAAAUAUCCUACUCCCAAGGACAGACUUUUUAGUUAUUUACUUACUUUAUGGAGUUUGGGUUUAGAUGACCUGCUCUGUAAAGCAGAAAAUCAACACAGAGAAAAGCACACAAAGCUUUUUUAAAAAAAGUUUUGGGGGUACUGAACUGUAAAUUUAAAAAUUUGCCUUUUUUCCUUUUUACAGCCUGGUAUUUCUUGUUAGAACUCCAUAUAGCCCCUAGCAUGGGGUUUUGCUCCUUUUCCCUUCUUACUAGCACUAAGAAGAGUUUUGUAAAAACAAGAUAGACUCAUGUAUACAAAAUCCCAAAAGAAAGUCUCCUAAAUGAAGAAAAAUUGGAAUUUCUGUUGGAUUAUUGCUCCUUGAUCUCAAGCAUGUGAGAGGAAGACUCUUUUAAAGUGUCAUCAUAAACCUAACCAAUCCUGUUGUUAAAGAAAAAAAAUCAGCAUAAUCCAAAUCUGUGUAUAUCACAAGAGAUUUUAGCCUCAUUAAGAAUAUUUACCUACUUUAUUUUAAUUUGCUACAACAGAAUUCUGAUAUUACAGAAAUAAUCCAGACAGUGAUUUGAAUUUUGUUAUGAAGAGUUCAAACAUGAAAAAUACAACAAAAAUCUAAUGCCUUUUUUUUUUUUUUUUUUUUUAAGAUUUCAUAAGCCUGUAAUUUCACUUCAUAGGAACUACCCUGGAGGAAACCGCCCUCUACCAAAACAGAUUUGCACCUGCUAGGCAACAAUUUUAGAGAUUUGCCUGGGGCCAGAAGAGAUUAACUGGUUCUCCUAGGGUCUUGGUCAUAGUUAUUUGUCCUUCCUUUUGGAAGAGGACCUUGAUAUCUGGGAGGUGACAUUCAAAUGAGUUGAACUUAAUUGAGGGGAGGGCUGUGCAAAGUCACAAGCUUUACUUUCUCCUCCAGAACCGUCUGGGUCCCGUGACCAGAUAUAUGUUAAAGAUGGCUCUGGAGGAAAUGAGAGACCUGUCUUGUUAAACUAAAGUCUAGUAUUGGCCUCAGUUUGACUUAAGCAACCUCCAGCCAGUAUUCAAGGAGUAGGGUCUCAUUUAUCUAAGGAAGAACUUGGACCCAUUUCUCCCUGGUCUCAGAGGUAGGCUCAUUAUUAUCCAUUUUGCAAUUUUGUCUUCUAGGUCUUCUAAGCACGAUUUCCCAGUAUUUUAAGCUCAAGCUUAAUCCAUUGCUCUUGGGUGUUUUGCUGCUUGCCUUCCACGUGUUCACUGGCACUAACUUGGCAAAUAUAGGCUGCAUAUUGGAGAGGAGACAGUUCUGGACUUGUCCUGUGUCUGAAUCCUGUUUCUUAGCUUCUCUUUCCUCAUUAGUAAAAGAAAGAUGACAAUGCUUGUGGUACCUUAAUCACCGGGUUGUGGGUUGUUGCUGGCAUUAAUCCUUUAGCAUCAUUCCUGGUAAACUGAUGUUAAGUUCAGUCAUGUCCAGCUGUUCAUGACCACAAUUGGGAUGUUCUUGGCAGAUAUACUGGAGUAGUUUGCUUCUCCAGCUCAUUUUGCAAAUGAGGAAACUGAGACAAAUAGAUGAAAUCCCUGAUCCUUCCAUUAUUAGAGUUAAAUGCUGUAUUUUAUUUCCAAAAGUCCCAAGUUGUCUCUUCACCAGCAUAGCUCAAUUCUAUACUCAAAAAAUUUCUCUUUCUGAGUUUGGUUGUUCCUCUUUUAACUCCUUUGUCCCACAGGCCAUUGCAGAUAGACAGAUAAUAGUCUGAACCCUCUCCUGCAAACAAUUUCCCACUGAACUCUGUAAGGUAAAAACUACUCAUUUGUCUUACAAUUUCCCUCUCCCCCCCCCCCCCAAGCCUCCCCCUACAACAAGCAGAACCCCAAAAGUCCUACUCACAUAUAUGAAGUUUUGAGGUUUAUUUCAUUUUUCAUUGAAAUGUACUUUAGGCCAUUGGAAACAAUAAAUACUUGCUGGUUGGAAUUGGGACAUUCUACAAUUUUCCCACUCCAAUAUUUAUUUGUGAAGUAUAGCAAAGAAUAGAAAUUUAAUAAUUACAUCUCAUUUAUUGGUUAAAAAACUAGUUAUGUUACCUUUUUGAAAAAACGAUGUCAAACAUUAAAAUUCUUCACAUUUAUGUAUAUAUCUGAGAUAGAUAUAGGAGUAAAUUGUUUUAGCAACAAAAUGUUGCACAGCCUAUCUUGAGACCAUUGUCCUUGCUUUCUCCCCCCACUCCCACCCAAUACAAGAUCUGUAGUAAAACUGAAAGAAUACUUAAUUAAGAUUAAAAAGAACUCUUCUCUGACUUCAUUCCCUUCUCUUGCCUCAGUACAAUUUGUUUAAUUUUAAAAUUUUAACUUUAUUUUACUCUUAUUAAUCCUAGUAAAUUUCAUAUAAUUUUUACAAAAUCAUUUGAUGGGUGGAAGAUGAAAAAUAAUCUUUUAAAAUGAUCAUAUACAGGGGACAAUUUAGGUGGCUUAGUGGAUUGAGCACUGGGUCUGGAGUCAAGAAGACCUGAAUUCAAAUCCAGCCUCAGACACUUACUGUCUGUAAGACCCUAGGCAAGUCAUUUAACUCCAAUUACCACCCCGACCUCCUUCCAAAAAUAAAAGUAGUUAUACAAUUUAGGAAUAUAGGAUCUUAGACAUUUAGUCCCCAACUGCCCUCAUUUUGUAGAUGAGAAAAUUGAAGACUAAAGAAGAAACCUGCUGGAAUUAAUACAUUUCAGAACAGGCCAAAUCAGGAUUUGGACCACAUUUCUCUGACUCAUAAUCUGGUAUUCUUCGGAUUCUAUUGUAUGAUCUCUUAAUGGUUAGGUCUAGAGAAAUUGUUUUUAAAUGAUCUGAGUUUGGCUUGCUAGAAGAAAUCAUAGAAAAUCAUUAUAUUAGUAGAUAGCUAGAAGGCACAAUAGACAGUGUUGGACUUAGAGCCAGGAAGCCCUGAAUUUGAAUGCUCCCUAAUUAUAUAAUAAUGAGUAAGUCACUUAACUCCUGCUUCAGUUUCCUCAUCUCUAAAAUUAAAGGAAUAAUAGUUCCUAUGUCAGUCACAGGGUUGGUGAGAUGAUCAAAUGAGAUAGCCUAUGUAUUUUGCAAAUCUUAAAGCAGCAAUAACAUAAGCAAAAUGUUCUGCAUACUUUAAAGCACCAUUUAAAUCCUGGUUAUCAGUAAUUUUCAUGAGCAAAGAAAAAAGGAAGAUUAUGGUAUAAUUUUAAUAAAUGAACAGAACCGAGGAAGAAAACUUUGAUACCAUGCCCUUAAGAAAUGCUAAUGGUAGCUGUUAUUUCCUUGAAGGAUGGGGUUUCUUUGCCAUCUAACUGGCACCCUGCAAUUUGUUUUCAGGAAUAAGAUGGAAGUCAGGUCACAAGUGUGAUAGAAGGAAGAUUCAAGGCUCUAGAAAUCUAAUAUGCUUUCCUAAGUGAUAUGUUAAAAGUUUCUAGCCAAGAGGUAUAUUAGGAUACCUUCAGGUAGCUCUAGGGAAGGGAUUACUUGAGAUAGGAAAACAGUUGUGCAAACUCAUUCACAUCCAUUCUCUUCUCCAGAGUCGUUGGAUCUAGAUUGGAACAAUUGAUAAUGGCCCCUGAUGCAGUGGUCUUUUUGGCCUUUUUAAGCUGAGGGGCUUCCUCGGUCUCCCUUUGUCUAAGAUGAUACCCAUUCAGUUGUUAAAGGUUAGGUAAGAAUUUAGGCAAAAGAUGACCUAGUUUGCUUUCCCAAACGAAUCAGUCUUGGAAGGGAAGCCCCUCAGAGUUUCUAACCAGAACAGAAACAAUUGCUAUUUACACUAACUCUGAGCAGUCAACAUCCAAACAUUGAAAAAGGAUGCUUGGGUAGGUACCUAUUAUUGGCCAGUCAGUGAAAGCCAAACUGAUUUAAUUUGAAUUUCAAUGGACUAUAUCAAAUCCUGGUUUUCUAGUGCUAUAUUUUAAGAAAUCAUAAAUUAAAAACUACAUGAGACAAAAGUGUUAAUUUUUUUUUUUUUUAAAGCUAGGAUAAACAAUUAAGGAAGGAAAAAAAUCUAGUCCCCUAAAAAGUUUGUGGCACAAAAAAAUCCUGACAAGGGCAGUUGGGAAACUGAAGAAGGAUCACAAAUCAAAUCCUUAGAGUAGCUUGAACAGAGUUAUAGAAGAGAAGAAGGGAACAAAUUGCUGAGGGAUGGGUAGGUUUACAGUUUCUUUCUAAUUGUUGUGAGCCCUAGUUCUGGCUGAGGUAAAACUGUAAAGUAGGAAAAUGUAUCUGGGGCUAUUCCAUCUCAUGAUUUCUGGUGCUUUGCUUUGGCUACCCGGUGACCUGUUGCCUUCCCUGUUACAGAUUGCCAUUUGGAUCAUGGAUUGAAAAUCAAGAGACCUUACAUAUUAUCUAAUAUAACUUUUCCCCUAUCCUUAUUAGAGACAGAAUGGGCAAAUAGAUGGCACAAUGAAUAGAGUGCUAGGCUUAGAGUCAAGAGGACCUGAGUUCAAAUCCAGUCUUUGACACUAGCUGUGUGAACUUGGACAAGUCACUUAACCCCAUUUGGCUCAGUUUCCUCAUCUGUAAAAUGAGUUGGUGAAGGAAGUGACAAAAUACUCCAGUAUUUUCACCAGGCAAAUACUGAAAGGGAUCACAAGCUUAGACACAACUCAAAAUGACUAAACAUCAAAAAUGGCUCAGUGCAUGUAUUCGAGGCUUAGAAUCAGAAGAUCUGCGUAUAAAUCCAGCCUCAGACAUUAGCUAGGUGACUUUGAGCAAGUCACUAACUUACAGUUUCCUUAACUAUAAAGUUUGGAUCAUAACAGUAUCUGCCUCAUAGUAUUGUUGUAAAGAUCAAAUAAAUUAAUACUUGUAAAACACUUAUCCCAAUGUCUGGCACAUCAUAUGCUUCUUGUUUUCUCAUCAAGUUCCCCUAAUUCCCAUUUUAUAAGUGAAGAAACAGGUCCCAAAAGUUCAGUAACUUGACUGAGAUCAUAUAGGGUAUAAAAAAAAAAGAAUAUGGGAGGAAACCCCCCCGGCUUCCUUCCUUUUCUCCUCUCCCCCCUUCAUCACAACUUAUGUACUCUGUCCUAUUUUAGGCAGUUAGGCAACCACUUAUUCUACUGAAGGCCAGGAGCAGAAAGUUUAGAUGGGUUUGGGGAGGGAGAGGAAACUUUAAAACUCGUGGAGCUUGCAGAAGAGCAGUAAUCAUAACAAUUAUAUUUCACUUUGUCCUGCUGAUAAAGGCCUUUGAAGAGAGUUGAGGCCAUGAAUCAAGUAUAAGAUAAUGCCUUUGGGCUGUUCCAAUUUGUGGGCUGUUUGAUUUUGCUAUCAGUGCCAUGCCUUGGGAGUGAAAUCAUUGUCUAGUAGGCAGCCCCUUUGUGGAUCAUCAAAAACAAACACUCUUGUCUUUUAUAUUUCCUCUGUGUCAAAGGUGUGUAUUGACUUUAUGGAGUUACUGGGACUAGUUGCAAAUUAGAUUUUAAAUGAAAAAUCUCUGCAUUCUGCCUCCACCUGGUCUGUCCAUUCAGGGUUAUCCCCAAUGUACCUUUCCUGAACAAGCUUUUAUUAAGUAACUCCCACUGUGCAAGGUGAUAGAUAUAAAAAGACUAAAAAGCAUGAUCCCUCUCCUUGAGGAGACUAUAUUCUACUCAUUUGAUGGCACAAGCUUUUUGGGGGACUAGAUUUUUUCCUUCCCUACUUAUUUAUCCUAUCUUAAAAAAAAAAAAAACUGCAACAAUUAAACUCUUUGUCUCAUGUAGUUUUUAUUUAUGAUUUCUUAAAAUACAACUCUAGAAAACCAGAUUUUGAUUCAAGUCCAUUGAAAUUGAAAUGAAAUCACUCUGGUUUUCACUGGCCAAUAAUAGAUACCUACGCAUGAUUCUCUGUUUUUUCAUUUUUUAGGUUUUGAUGGCUCAGAGUUGAGUGUAAGUAGCAAUUGUUUCUGUACUGUCUAGAAACCUUCCCAGAUUGAUUUUUUUGGGAAGGCAAACUAAGCCAUCUUUUGCCUAAAUUCUUACCUAAUUUUUAACUACUAAAAUAGUAUGGUCUCAGACAAAGUGAUCCUGGGAAAAAUUUUAGCUUAAAAAGGCCAAAAUCAUCACUGCAUCCUGGGCCAUUAUCAGUUAUCUAUGUCCAAUGACUGGAGAGUGGGGGGUUUGCCCAGCUUUGUCUUAUUUAAAACCAAUUCAUUUGCAAGUUCCUAUACAUCCUCCUCUUGAUAUCCUAAUGUCCUCUUAAAGAACAAAGGAUAGACAACAACAGUAAUGACAAUGCUUUGUAAUAUCUCACUAUCCCUAGAGGAAGAUACACUAAUUCACAUUUAUGUAGCAUUUUGAGAAUUAUGAAAUGCUAUUUCCCGAAGAGGUGCAGAAAGGUGACUACUUGCCCAGGAUCAUAUGGUAGCUUGUUCAAAUUGGGACGUGAAACCAGAUUUCUUUGAAUUCAAAUCUUCCUGUUUAUUCAUGGACAAAAUCCUUAAUUUUAUCUAUUCUCUUCUUUCUUUCCUCCCAAUCUAAUCCGUGCAACCAGAUCCUCCCCUUAAAUAUAAGUAUACAUGAGCACUUUGUAAGAAGACAUGAACAAAUGGUAGAGAUUGAGAGUGGGGAUUCCUCUUUUAGUGAUGUACUUGUAAUAUAUUUGAGCACAGUCAGAAUGCUCCAUGGAAGAGGGUUGAGGGUUGGUAUGGGAGGGGUAGAAAGUUAAGUUAGGGAAAAUAUUUAGAGAAAAGUUCAAGAAUCCAUGAGUUCCUCAGUAGCGGGCCAUACUGGAGGAGUGGCUUGGUAAAUCUUGACUUUUAAAGUUUGACUGUGAUGAGGUCCUGAUUAAUUAGAUGUGUUUGGCCGAGAAAAAUUGAAGUAUUUACUCCCUGAAGCAAACUGAGAAAGACACUGAUGGGGAUUGGGGGUCUUGGGUAGUCCCACCUUGCUGUGUCCAGUUGAAAAUCCAACUUAUGCCAAACCCUAGAGGUUAAAUUUCCCCAAUAAAUCUGCCUGUGGCUCCCGCCAUCUUUGCUUAUUCCAUUUUUGGGGACACUGUCUCAUGGUAUCUUUCCUCUCACCCCAUUUUCCAUGCCUCUUUCUUCUUGUUAGAGCUAACUAACUCUUCCGGGGCGUUAAACUCCUCUAAGGAUUUAGUCUAUCAAUUUAUGAAUGAUGUAUUUCCUUUCUUCUGGUUAAUUGUGAGUUCCACCUGGGAGCUUGUCUUUUCCAUUGCUAAUUGUUAAAAUUGUUAAACCACUUUUCUCUAGAUGCUCUCCCAAAUAAAUCUAUUCCAUAUUUA